rnacentral:rRNA from 1 species
AUUGAACGCUGGCGGCAUGCCUUACACAUGCAAGUCGAACGGUAACGGGCCGUCGGGUGUCGACGAGUGGCGGACGGGGGAGUAAUACAUCGGAAUGUGCCCGAUCGUGGGGGGUAACGAGGCGAAAGCUUUGCUAAUACCUCAUACGAUCUACGGUUGAAAGCAGGGGACUGCAAGGGCUUGCGCGGACGGAGCGGUCGAUGGCAGAUUAGGUAGUUGGUGGGAUAAAAGCUUACCAAGCCGACGAUCUGUAGCUGGUCUGAGAGGAUGAUCAGCCACACUGGGACUGAGACACGGCCCAGACUCCUACGGGAGGCAGCAGUGGGGAAUUUUGGACAAUGGGCGCAAGCCUGAUCCAGCCAUGCCGCGUGCAGGAUGAAGGCCUUCGGAUUGUAAACUGCUUUUGUACGGAACGAAAAGCCUUCUUUUAAUACAGGAGGGUCAUGACGGUACCGUAAGAAUAAGCACCGGCUAACUACGUG